rnacentral:rRNA from 1 species
AUUGAACGCUGGCGGCAGGCCUAACACAUGCAAGUCGGACGAGCGGCGGACGGGUGAGUAAUGUAUGGGGAACUGCCUGAUGGAGGGGGAUAACUACUGGAAACGGUAGCUAAUACCGCAUACCAUCAGAUGAACCCAGAUGGGAUUAGCUUGUAGGUGAGGUAAGGGUUCACCUAGGCGACGAUCCCGAGCUGGUCUGAGAGGAUGAUAAGCCACAUGGGAGAUGAGACACGGCCCAGAGUCCUACGGGAGGCAGCAGCGGGUAAUAUUGCACAAUGGGCGAAAGCCUGAUGCAGCCAGGCCGCGUGUAUGAAGAAGGCCUUCGGGUUGUAAAGUCCUUUCAGUCGGGAGGCGUUACCGACAGAAGAAGCACCGGCUAACUCCGUGCCAGCCGACGCGGUAAUUC